GCCAUAACUCAGUGGUAGAGCAUGUGCUUAAUAUGCAGAAGUUCCCAGGUUCAAACCUUGGCACCUCCA